GACACCCGAUGUCACAAGACCGUUGUUAAAGUCUCGCUUCUGCUGCACCCCACGUCUCUGUGUGCACCCUUUGAUUUUGGACGGAUGUUCUGGUGCUGGCAGUUGUGUGUAUAUCCCAAGGCACUUGCAACAGAGUUCUCCAGUCUCAGCAAAUACAUCCAGACAAUUGGUGAUUUACGCAGACCAAAUAAAAUACUUAUUUUUUCUUCUAAACACA